rnacentral:rRNA from 1 species
GGGGAAUAUUGCGCAAUGGGGGAAACCCUGACGCAGCGACGCCGCGUGAGCGAAGAAGGCCUUAGGGUUGUAAAGCUCUGUUUUAAGGGACGAAUGUCGUGGGGAGUAAUAUGCUCUGCGAAUGACGGUACCUUAAGAGGAAGCCCCGGCUAACUACGUGCCAGCAGCCGCGGUAAGACGUAGGGGGCGAGCGUUGUCCGGAAUUACUGGGCGUAAAGAGCACGUAGGCGGGAACUUAAGUCAGGUGUGAAAGACCGGGGCUCAACUCGGGGUUGGAAUUGAAACUGGGUUUCUUGAGGGCAGGAGAGGAAAGCAGAAUUCCUGGUGUAGCGGUGAAAUGCGUAGAAAUCAGGAGGAAUACCAGUGGCGAAGGCGGCUUUCUGGACUGACCCUGACGCUGAGGUGCGAAAGCGUGGGUAGCAAACAG